rnacentral:rRNA from 1 species
GACGUAGGGCGCGAGCGUUGUCCGGAUUUAUUGGGCGUAAAGAGCUCGUAGGCGGCUUGUCGCGUCGAAUGUGAAAUCUCAGGGCUCAACUCUGACAUUGCAUUCGAUACGGGCAGGCUAGAGUUCGGUAGGGGAGACUGGAAUUCCUGGUGUAGCGGUGAAAUGCGCAGAUAUCAGGAGGAACACCGGUGGCGAAGGCGGCCCGCUGGGCAGGAAGGCUCGCAAGAGCCGGCUGACGCUGAGGCGCGACAGCGUGGGGAGCAAACAGG